rnacentral:rRNA from 1 species
AUUGAACGCUGGCGGCAGGCUUAACACAUGCAAGUCGAGCGGAGAGAGGUAGCUUGCUACCGAUCUUAGCGGCGGACGGGUGAGUAAUGCUUAGGAAUCUGCCUAUUAGUGGGGGACAACAUUUCGAAAGGAAUGCUAAUACCGCAUACGUCCUACGGGAGAAAGCAGGGGAUAUUCGGACCUUGCGCUAAUAGAUGAUCCUAAGUCGGAUUAGCUAGUUGGUGGGGUAAAGGCCUACCAAGGCGACGAUCUGUAGCGGGUCUGAGAGGAUGAUCCGCCACACUGGGACUGAGACACGGCCCAGACUCCUACGGGAGGCAGCAGUGGGGAAUAUUGGACAAUGGGCGCAAGCCUGAUCCAGCCAUGCCGCGUGUGUGAAGAAGGCCUUAUGGUUGUAAAGCACUUUAAGCGAGGAGGAGGCUACUUUAGAUAAUACCUAGAGAUAGUGGACGUUACUCGCAGAAUAAGCACCGGCUAACUCUGUGCCAGCCGCCGCGGUAAUAC